GGCAAUUUCUGCUUCCUGGCCUUACUUCUUUAAAGAAAAAAAUUUCCCACGCGUUACUCACUUAGAUCAACCCAUUCCCACAUUUUUUUAGUGUUGAAGGCUAAUAUAUUUUAGUAAUGCUUCAAUGAACUGUGGUAGCAACAAAUAAAGAAAUUGACUUCUGUCCCAAAAUAUGGGAAGUAGAGUUGUAAUCAGGAUUACAGAAAAAAAGAAAAGGGUCAGUAUUACAUGCUGCUAAAAUGCUUUUGCGUGGAUUAUUGUUUUAUUUCGACCUCCUCCACCCUUUAAAUCUGAUACAUGCUAAGAUUUUCAUGGGCACAGCCACCUCCUAAUAUAUGGUUUUGCUUCUCUGUAAGCAUGGAAUCCCCUCUGCAGUUAUGUUUGCUUGUGCAUCUCCGGCAGCUGGAGGACGAAUCACAUCAGGCUGAUGAGUGUGUCACGCUCUUCAUCCCCCAAGAGCUGCAAUGAAGACCAAGACAAACAGUAGAUUAACAGUGCUACCUUUUAUAAGGCUGAUUAGUUCCUAAAAUAUGCUGAAAGGAAACAAAACCAAAAAGAAAAGAGAGUAGAAAGGGGGGUGAGACAGAAACCUUUGUCGGGUCUCAUUCCAUCACCCAGGCUGGAGUGCAGCAGCGUGAUCUUGGCAACCUCCACCUCCCAGGCUCAAGCAAUCCUCCCACCUCAGCCUCCCAAAUACCUGGGUCUACAGGCAUACACCACCACAAUCAGCUGUAUUUUUUGUAGAGACUGGGUUUCGCCAUGUUGCCCAGGGUGGUCAUGAACUUGUGAGCUCAAGUGAUCUGCCCGCCUCAGCCUCCCAAAGUGCUGGGAUUACAGGCAUGAGCCACCGCCCCUGGCCUAAUAAAAUUUAUUUUUAAAAAAGG
rnacentral:lncRNA from 1 species